CCCUUAGAUGUUCUGGGCCGCACGCGUGCUACACUGAGUGGAUCAGCGGGUCAGGUUGCGCGAAAGUGUUUCCUAAUCUUGAAAUCCGCUCGUGAUGGGGAUUGACGGUUGCAAUUUUCCGUCAUGAACGAGGAAUACCUUGUAAGCGCGGGUCAUCAUCCCGCGCUGAAUACGUCCCUGCCCUUUGUACACACCGCCCGUCGCACCUACCGAUUGGAUGGUCCGGUGAAGCCUCGGGAUUGUGGUUCUUGCCGCUUUAUUGUGGCGUGACCGCGAGAACUUGUCUAAACCUUAUCAUCUAGAGGAAGGUGAAGUCGUAACA
rnacentral:rRNA from 1 species